GGAGGGUGCAAGCGUUAAUCGGAAUUACUGGGCGUAAAGCGCACGCAGGCGGUCUGUCAAGUCGGAUGUGAAAUCCCCGGGCUUAACCUGGGAACUGCAUUCGAAACUGGCAGGCUAGAGUCUUGUAGAGGGGGGUAGAAUUCCAGGUGUAGCGGUGAAAUGCGUAGAGAUCUGGAGGAAUACCGGUGGCGAAGGCGGCCCCCUGGACAAAGACUGACGCUCAGGUGCUAAAGCGUGGGGAGCAAACAGGAUUAGAUACCCUGGUAGUCCACGCCGUAAACGAUGUCGACUUGGAGGUUGUUCCCUUGAGGAGUGGCUUCCGGAGCUAACGCGUUAAGUCGACCGCCUGGGGAGUACGGCCGCAAGGUUAAAACUCAAAUGAAUUGACGGGGGCCCGCACAAGCGAUGGAGCAUGUGGUUUAAUUCGAUGCAACGCGAAGAACCUUACCUACUCUUGACAUCCAGAGAACUUAGCAGAGAUGCUUUGGUGCCUUCGGGAACUCUGAGACAGGUGC
rnacentral:rRNA from 1 species